ACUUUAAUUGAAGAGUUUGAUCAUGGCUCAGAUUGAACGCUGGCGGCAGGCCUAACACAUGCAAGUCGAGCGGCAGCGGGAAGUAGCUUGCUACUUUGCCGGCGAGCGGCGGACGGGUGAGUAAUGUCUGGGAAACUGCCUGAUGGAGGGGGAUAACCACUGGAAACGGUGGCUAAUACCGCAUAACGUCGCAAGACCAAAGUGGGGGACCUUCGGGCCUCAUGCCAUCAGAUGUGCCCAGAUGGGA
rnacentral:rRNA from 1 species